rnacentral:rRNA from 1 species
AGCGAACGUUUGCGGCGGGCUUAACACAUGCAAGUCGAACGAGAAUCCCUUCGGGGAGGAAAGUGGCGCACGGGUGCGUAACACGUGGAUAACCAACCCAUUGGUUUGGGACAACACCGGGAAACUGGUGCUAAUACCAGAUGUGUCGCAGCUGUCUUCAGGCGGUUGCGAGAAAGGCCCGCAAGGGUCGCCAACGGACGGGUCCGCGUCCCAUCAGCUAGUUGGUGAGGUAAUGGCUCACCAAGGCAAAGACGGGUAGCUGGUCUGAGAGGAUGAUCAGCCACACUGGAACUGAGACACGGUCCAGACUCCUACGGGAGGCAGCAGUGGGGAAUAUUGCGUAAUGGGCGAAAGCCUGACGCAGCCACGCCGCGUGAGCGAUGAAGGUCUUCGGAUCGUAAAGCUCUGUGGGGGGAGAAGAAGAAAGACCGGUGAAGAGCCGGCUUUGACGGUAUCCCCUUAGCAAGCACCGGCUAACUCCGUGCCAGCAGCCGCGGUAAUGU